CGACCUCAAAUCAGAUUUGGUGACCCGCUGAAUUUAAGCAUAUUACUAAGCGGAGGAAAAUAAACUAACCAGGAUUCCUUCAGUAAUGGCGAGUGAAGAGGGGAAGAGCCCAGCGCCGAAUACCCACCCAGGCGAUGGGAGCAGGGAAAUGUGGCAUAUGGAAGUCUGUCUCCCCGGCACUGCCCAGGGGACCCAAGUCCUUGUAAUCAAGGCUCAGCCAGUGGACAGUGAGGCUGGUGGCGUUCCCCGGUGCAUCAGGAUCAGAUCUUCCCAGAGUCAGGUUGUUUGUGAAUGCAGCCUAAAGCGGGUGGUAAACUCCAUCUAAGGCUAAACAAUGGGCACGAGACCAAUAGUGGGCAAGUACAGUAAGGGAAAGUUGAAAAGAACUUUGAAGAGAGAGUUCAAGAAGGCGUGAAACCAUUCAGAGGUAAACGGGUGGGGUCCAGGCGGUUCACCUGGAGGAUUCAACUCGGCGGCCACACUGGCUGCCUAGCCGAGGUGGAUCCCCCUCCCCCUCCAGGGGGUGGGGAACCAUCCUCUGGUGAGCCGGACACUGUCGGGCGCACGUCCUCUGUGGUGGUGUGUUGCGAUCAGCUCAGGGUUGGCCAGGAAGGCUGCACUGAAGGUGGCUCGCCUCCCCAGAGGGGAAUCUUAUAGCCUGCAGCAUCAGCCCUCACCAUGACCCAUGGUCAUGGGAGAUGACCACCGCAGCACCCACCCUGCCCUCAUGGCAGGGGCCCCCCGGCUCCCAGCACAACUAUCUACUGGGCUGGACUGCCCUUACUGUGGCCCAACUGUGUCCUGCAGCCAAGCCGGUGAGCUCAUCUUGGGUGCCCAGGAUCCACGGUGAUGUCAGUGACCCACCCAUCCCAUCUUGAAACACAGACCAAAGAGUCUAACAGGUGCAUGAGUUCAAGGGUGGGCAGGAGACCCCACAGUACAAUGAAAGUGAGGGCCAGCACGCACCACAUAAAAGGCAGGAUCCCCCCAGCCCAUGCGGGGGGUGCACAGCCAGCCCAUCUCACCCAUCCCAUUGGAGAGGUGUAGAGUGAGUGCACCUGGUAGGACCUGAAAGAUGGUUAACUAUGCCUGGGCAGGGUGAAGCCAGCAGAAACUCUGGUGGAGGUCUUUAGCAGUUCUGACAUGCAAAUCAGUCAUCCGACCUGGGUAUAGAGGCAAAAGACUAAUCGAGCCAUCUAGUAGCUGGUUCCCUCUGAAGUUUCCCUCAGGUUAGAUGGCACUCGGUAGAUGCAGUUUUAAAGGGGUAAAGAAAAAGAUUAGAGGUCUUGGGGCUGAAACAAUCUCAACCUAUUCUCAAACUUUAAAUGGGUGAGAAGCCCAAUUCACUGGCUUGGAGCCAGGAGUGGAAUGCGAGCACCCAGUGGGCCAUUUUUUAUAAGAAGAACUGACGCUAGAGGAUGAACUGAACACCAGUUUAAGUCGACCAAUGCCGAUGCUCAUCAGACCCUAGAAAAGGUGUUAGUUGAUAUAGAUAGCAGGACGGUGGCCACGGAAGUUGGAAUCCGCUAAGGAGUGUGUAACAACUCACCUGCUGAAACAACUAGCCCUGAAAAUGGAUGGAGCUGGAGUGUCAGAUACAUACCCAGCCAUCGCCAGCACUGGGAGCCAUGGAGGCUAUGCCUCGAUGAGUAGGAGGGCCGCCACAGUGGUACUGAAGCCCAAGGCAAGGGCCAGGUGGAGCUGCUGUGGGUGCACAUCUUGGUGGCAGUAGCAAAUAUUGAAAUGAGAGCUUUGAAGGCUGAAGUGGAGAAGGGUUCCCUGUGAACAGCAGUUGAACAUGAGUCAGUCAGUCUUGAGAGAUAGCAAGGGAUGGGCGAUGGCCUCCAUCACCCUUGGCUGAUCAAAAGGGAGUCGGGUUCAAAUCCCUGAAUCCAAAGCGGCAGAGACAGGUGCCUUGCGGGGUCCAGUGUGGUGAUUAAAAUGAUCCUGGAGAAGCUGUCAGGAGCCCCUGGGAGAGUUCUCUUUUCUUUGUAAAGGGCAUGGUGCCCUGGAAUGGGUUUGCCCCAAGAGAGGGGCCCACGCCCUGGAAAGCGUAGCUGUUCAUGUGGCGUCAGGUGAGCACUCACUGGCCCUUGAAAAUCUGAGGAAGAGGGUGUAAGUCUCACGCUGGGCUGUACCAAUAUCUGCAGCAGGUCUCCAAGGUGAACAGUCUUCAGCAUGUUAGAACAAUGUAGGUAAAGGAAGUCAGCAAGUCAGAUCUGUAACUUCUGGAUAAAUAUUGGUCUAAGGGCUGGGUUGGUUGGGCUCGGGCAUGAAGUGGGGCUGGAAGCGUGCCGCAGCUGGAUGAGGUGUCACCCCCUCACCAUACUCCCCCCUCAUCGGGGGGGGCAAGGGGAAUGGCAGCUGUGAUUCUAGAUGCAUGUCGGGCCCUUCUUGUGGAUUGCCCCAGCUGUGGUGGGCGCUGGCCUCGACCAGCAUCCCUCAUUGUCCGGCAGCUAGCAGCUGACUUAGAACUGGUGUAGACCAGGGGAAUCCUACU